ensembl:lncRNA
CCCAAACUACUCUCCCAACUGUCGCUAACUACUGUCCCAACUGUCCCUAACUACAGUACUUAGAGACAGUUGGGACAGUAGUUGGGUGCAGUUGGGACAGUAGUUAGCCACAGUUGGGACAGUAGUUAGCGGCAUUAUGGGUAGUUGGGACAGUAGUAAGGGGCAUUUGGGACAGUAGUUAAGAAAAGUUGGAACAGUAGUUGUGGCAGUUGUUACAGUAGUUAGCGACAGUUGGGACAGUAGUUAUCUGCAGUUGGGACAGUAGUUAGGGACAGCUUGGACAGUAGUUAGCGGCAGUUGGCACAGUAGUUAGGGGCAGUUGGGACAGUUGUUAGGGGCUGAUGGGACAGUAGUCAGUGACAGUUGGGACAUUAUAUAGUAGUUAUCUGCAGUCGGGGCAGUUGGGACAGUAGUUAGCGACAGUUUGAUAGUAGUUAGGGGCACUUGGGUCAGUAGUUAUGGGCUGUUGGGACAGUAGUUAUCGGCAGUUGAACAGUUGUUAGCGGCAGUAGCGGCAGUUAGCAGAGUAGGUAGGGUCAGUUGGGAGAGUAGUUAGCAGCAGUAGUGGCAGUCGGGAGUGUAGUUAGAAGCAGUAGGGGCAGUUGGCACCGUAGUUAGGGUCAUUUGGGACUGUAGUUUAUGACCGUUGGGACAGUAGUUUGGGGCACUUGGGACAGUAGUUAGUGGCAGUUGGGACAGUAGUUAGUGACAGAUGGGACUGUAGUUAGGCACAGUUGGGACCGUAGUUAGUGGCAGUACGGGCAGUUGGGACAGUUGUUAGGGGCUGUUGGAACAGUAUUUAGUGACAGUUGACACAGCAGUUUGGAGCAGUUGGGAAAGGAGUUAGUGACAGUUGGCACAGUAGUUAGGGGCAGUUUGGACAGUAGUUAGUGACAGAUGGGACUGUAGUUAGGCACAGUUGUGACAGUAGUUAGUGGCAGUAGGGGCAGUUGGGACAGUAGAUAGGGGCAGUUGGGACAGUAGUUAUUGACAGUUGGGACAGUAGUUAGGGGCAGUUGCGACAGUAGUUAGCGACAGUUAGGACAGUAGUUAGGUUCAGUUGGAAAGUAGUUAAGGGCAGCUGGGACAGUAGUUAGCAGCAUUUGGGACUGUAGUUAGGGGCAGUUGGGACAGUACUUUGCAGCAGUUGGGACAGUAGUUUUCGGGAGUUGGGACAGUAGUUUGCAGCAGUUGGGACACUAGUUAGUGGCAGUUGGGACAGUAGUUAUGGACAGUUCGGACAGUAGUAAGCCUCAGUUGGGACAGUAGUUAUCGACAGUUGCGGCAGUUGGGGUUGUAGUUAGCGACAGUUGGGACAGUAAUUAGGGAAAGUUUGGACAGUAGUAAGCCUCAGUUGGGACUGUAGUUAGGGGCAGUUGGAACAGUAGUUAGUGACAGUUUGACAGUAGUUAGGGGCAUUUGAGACAGUAGUUACCGGCAGAUGGGAAAGUAGUUAGUGCAGUUGGACAGUAGUUGGGACAGUAGUUAGCGACAGUUGAGACUGUACUAAGCGGUAGUUGGGACUGUAGUUAGGGGCAGUUGGAACAGUAGUUAGUGACAGUUUGACAGUAGUUAGGGGCAUUUGAGGCAGUAGUUGGUCAGUUGGAACAGUAGUUAGCAACAUUUAGGACAGCAGUUAGGGGCAGUUGGUGCUGUAGUUAGGGGCAGUUGGAACAGUAGUUAUUUACAAUGGGACAGUAGUUAUGCACAGUUGAGACAGUAGUUAGUGGCAGUUGGGACAGUAGUUAGUGACAGUUUUGACAGUUGUUAGGGGCACUAGCGACAGUAGUUGGGGAAUUUGAGACAGUAGUUAGCGACAGUUGGGACAGUAGUUAGCGACAGUUGGGACAGCAGUUACGGGCAUUUGAGACAGUAGUUAGCGACAGUUGGGACUGUAGUUAGUGGCAGUUGGGACUGUAGUUAGGGGCAGUUGGAACAGUACUUAGCGACAGUUGGGACAGUAGUUGGGGAAUUUGGGACAGUAGUUAGGGCCAUGUGGGACAAUAGUUAGCGACAGUUGCGGCAGUUGGAACAGUAGUACACAACAGUUGGGAGAGUUGUUAGCUGCUGUUGUUACAGUAUUUAGCAGUUGUUAUUGUAGUUGGGGAAG